CGCUUUACGGCACGGCGGGGACUUCAACUCCCAGCAACCCCCGCGCGGCGCAGGCGCAGAGCGCGCGGUGCGAAAAAGGCGGGAAGGCGUCGAGCGGGCGCUGAGGUGAGCGCGGCGAUGGGCAAAAGGAAGAGCGGCCAGGCGCCAGGUGGGGCCGACGGUGACGGCCGUGCUGCCAAAGCCAGGGCAGGACUGCAGGGGGACCGGGGGGCAAACGGGGGGGACAAAAUUGGAUU